CCUACGGGAGGCAGCAGUAGGGAAUCUUGCGCAAUGGGCGAAAGCCUGACGCAGCCAUGCCGCGUGAAUGAUGAAGGUCUUAGGAUUGUAAAAUUCUUUCACCGGGGACGAUAAUGACGGUACCCGGAGAAGAAGCCCCGGCUAACUUCGUGCCAGCAGCCGCGGUAAUACGAAGGGGGCUAGCGUUGCUCGGAAUUACUGGGCGUAAAGGGAGCGUAGGCGGAUAGUUUAGUCAGAGGUGAAAGCCCAGGGCUCAACCUUGGAACUGCCUUUGAUACUGGCUAUCUUGAGUAUGGGAGAGGUGAGUGGAACUCCGAGUGUAGAGGUGAAAUUCGUAGAUAUUCGGAAGAACACCAGUGGCGAAGGCGACUCACUGGCCCAUUACUGACGCUGAGGCUCGAAAGCGUGGGGAGCAAACAGGAUUAGAUACCCUGGUAGUCCACGCCGUAAACGAUGAGUGCUAGUUGUCGGUCGAUGCAUGCAUGUCGGUGGUACGCGAGCGUACGACGAUUAAGCGACUCCGCCGUCGGGGAGGUACGGUCGGCGAGAUUAAACUACAAUAGAGUAGACGCGUGAGACGUGCCGACGGACGACGACGAGGGAGGAGG
rnacentral:rRNA from 1 species